UACAGAGGGUGCGAGCGUUAAUCGGAAUUACUGGCGUAAAGCGCGCGUAGGCGGCUUUGCAAGUCGAGUGUGAAAUCCCCAGGCUCAACCUGGGAACUGCAUUCGAGACUGCAUAGCUAGAGUAUGGGAGAGGGAAGUGGAAUUUCAGGUGUAGCGGUGAAAUGCGUAGAUAUUGGGAGGAACACCAGUGGCGAAGGCGGCUCACUGGACCGGAACUGACGCUGAGGCGCGAAAGCGUGGGGAGCAAACAGG
rnacentral:rRNA from 1 species